UACGGAGGGAGCUAGCGUUGUUCGGAAUUACUGGGCGUAAAGCGCACGUAGGCGGCUUUUUAAGUCAGAGGUGAAAGCCCAGAGCUCAACUCUGGAACUGCCUUUGAAACUGGUGAUCUUGAGUACGGGAGAGGUGAGUGGAAUUCCCAGUGUAGAGGUGAAAUUCGUAGAUAUUGGGAAGAACACCGGUGGCGAAGGCGGCUCACUGGCCCGUAACUGACGCUCAGGCGCGAUAGCGUGGGGAUCAAACAGG
rnacentral:rRNA from 1 species